AAGCCAUUCUGGCAAAUUAAUUGAACAUAGGAAGGGAGUGGUGGAAAGCCCUGAUUUACAGCCAGUUGGUUAGACAUACAGGUAAUAUGCUGGGCUUGUGACUGGAAUCUGAACUGGAAUUUUAUAGGACUGAGUCUUGAACAGAGUAGAAACAGUGUUAGACUUUAUUUUUCUGGGCUCCAAAAUCACUGCAGAUGGUGAUUGCAGCCAUGAAAUUAAAAGACGCUUACUCCUUGGAAGAAAAGUUAUGACCAACCUAGAUAGUAUAUUCAAAAGCAGAGACAUUACUUUGCCGACUAAGGUCCGUCUACUCAAGGCUAUGGUUUUUCCUGUGGUCAUGUGUGGAUGUGAGAGUUGGACUGUGAAGAAGGCUAAGCACCGAAGAAUUGAUGCUUUUGAACUGUGGUGUUGGAGAAGACUCUUGAGAGUCCCUUGGACUGCAAGGAGAUCCAACCAGUCCAUUCUGAAGGAGAUCAGCCCUGGGAUUUCUUUGGAAGAAUGAUGCUAAAGCUGAAACUCUAGUACUUUGGCCACCUCAUGCAAAGAGUUGACUCAUUGGAAAAGACUCUGAUGCUGGGAGGGAUUGGGGGCAGGAGGAGAAGGGGACAACAGAGGAUGAGAUGACUGGAUGGCAUCACUGACUCAGUGGACGUGAGUCUGAGUGAACUCCGGGAGUUGGUGAUGGACAGGGAGGCCUGGCGUGCUGUGAUUCAUGGGGUCGCAAAGAGUCAGACACGACUGAGUGACUGAACUGACUGAUAUCUUUCUACUUCUUUGUAUAGUCAUUCUAUUAAUUUUUGAAAGUUUGAUAUUUAAACUCCCAGUAAAAAUCUUAAUUUAUCUACUUAAAAAUUAAUUGUAAUAUAUAGUGGAACUAUAUGUAA
rnacentral:lncRNA from 1 species